UACAGGAGGGGGCAAGCGUUGUCCGGAAUUACUGGGCGUACAGCGCGCGCAGGCGGUUGCCGACGUGCCGUGUGACAAACGGGGGCUCAACCCCCGAGGGCCACGGUAAACGGGGCGACUGGAGGUAGGGAGAGGGAUGUGGAAUGCCCGGUGGAGCGGUGAAAUGCGUAGAUAUCGUGAGGAACACCAGAGGCGAAGGCGGUUACCUGGACAGUUACUGACGCUCAGGCACGAAAGCGUGGGGAGCAAAAGGG
rnacentral:rRNA from 1 species